rnacentral:rRNA from 1 species
GUAAUAAUCCUGUAGUCGAAAAUGUUGUCUCUCUUGAGUGGAUCCUGAGUACGACGGAGCACGUGAAAUUCCGUCGGAAUCUGGGAGGACCAUCUCCUAAGGCUAAAUACUCUCUAGUGACCGAUAGUGAACCAGUACCGUGAGGGAAAGGUGAAAAGCACCCCGGAAGGGGAGUGAAAUAGAACCUGAAACCGUGUGCUUACAAGUAGUCAGAGCCCGUUAAUGGGUGAUGGCGUGCCUUUUGUAGAAUGAACCGGCGAGUUACGAUUUGAUGCAAGGUUAAGCAGUAAAUGUGGAGCCGUAGCGAAAGCGAGUCUGAAUAGGGCGUUUAGUAUUUGGUCGUAGACCCGAAACCAGGUGAUCUACCCUUGGUCAGGUUGAAGUUCAGGUAACACUGAAUGGAGGACCGAACCGACUUACGUUGAAAAGUGAGCGGAUGAACUGAGGGUAGCGGAGAAAUUCCAAUCGAACCUGGAGAUAGCUGGUUCUCUCCGAAAUAGCUUUAGGGCUAGCCUCAAGUGAUGAUUAUUGGAGGUAGAGCACUGUUUGGACGAGGGGCCCCUCUCGGGUUACCGAAUUCAGACAAACUCCGAAUGCCAAUUAAUUUAACUUGGGAGUCAGAACAUGGGUGAUAAGGUCCGUGUUCGAAAGGGAAACAGCCCAGACCACCAGCUAAGGUCCCAAAAUAUAUGUUAAGUGGAAAAGGAUGUGGCGUUGCCCAGACAACUAGGAUGUUGGCUUAGAAGCAGCCAUCAUUUAAAGAGUGCGUAAUAGCUCACUAGUCGAGUGACACUGCGCCGAAAAUGUACCGGGGCUAAACAUAUUACCGAAGCUGUGGAUUGUCCUUUGGACAAUGGUAGGAGAGCGUUCUAAGGGCGUUGAAGCAUGAUCGUAAGGACAUGUGGAGCGCUUAGAAGUGAGAAUGCCGGUGUGAGUAGCGAAAGACGGGUGAGAAUCCCGUCCACCGAUUGACUAAGGUUUCCAGAGGAAGGCUCGUCCGCUCUGGGUUAGUCGGGUCCUAAGCUGAGGCCGACAGGCGUAGGCGAUGGAUAACAGGUUGAUAUUCCUGUACCACCUAUAAUCGUUUUAAUCGAUGGGGGGACGCAGUAGGAUAGGCGAAGCGUGCGAUUGGAUUGCACGUCUAAGCAGUAAGGCUGAGUAUUAGGCAAAUCC